AUCCACACGUAUUGCAUGACUCAUAUAUAUGAGACCUACGAGACCUUAACAGCAACAUUCUGAGGUUUCAAAGAAUUGGACUUUUAUGUUGUGUUUGGUUGGGGGAUUUAGAGAGGGAUUUGGAAAGAAAAAGGGAAAAGGUGUGUGAAACUAUGUGAAGUAUAGGCAUGAUUUAUUCACAUUUCAUCUAUUUUUUCUAUUUUCCUUUCCAAAUCACUCCCUAAAUCCCCAACCAAACACAACAUUAAAAAAUUGGGGGUAUAAUGCAAGGGCCAUAUAUUAGCUUGGUUGAGAAAGUCUUACUGGUUUAUAUAGGAUUAUUCUACAAAUCAUUCAACAUUAUAAUCAGUUGGGUUUUGAAAAUUGAAUCAGUUGCAUUCAGGAUCCAAGGCCAAAACUGUUGGAGGGACUCAAAAAUCAAAACUGGACUUCUACCACUGUGAGUAAUUGAAAAUGCACACCAACUGUUUGAUUUUUUGUCUCUGUGACAAAUGCUUCAUGUUUCUGGGUACAACACGUGCAGAUCCUUCACUGUCGUUAUCACCAGCUGCAAGAAAGCAAAAAGGUUAAUGGGCAGAACAAGUACAGGGCAAAUUACGGCUAGUCAUCGAUUAUUAUGAGUUUCUAAGAAGAGAAUGGGAGAGAGAAAAACAUUGAAGAGUACGUACCUCAUUUGCAGAAGCAGAGCCGACACAUGGAGGUAGGUCAAUUAAGUCCCUAAAAGUAAGAAUCUUUUUCCUAAGCUCUUCCAUUUUAAGGAAUACACUGGUCGCACUGUUGGAAUUGUGCACUUUAGAGCCUUUGAAUAACUUGAGAUUCCUCAAUAUAUUUGACCUCUUGGUUGUCGCCACUGGCGACUCCUUUCCCUGUCGAUAUUGUUAGCUAAUAGUUAUACUUGGUAGCCAUUUGAUCUCGAGUUUAAGAAUUUACAUAACCUAAACUUUCUCUUCUGUUUUUUCUAUUUUUUCAGAAUUUUGUCAUGUACUUUUGUUUAAUGAUCAAAUAUUGAAUCAUGAAGCCAAUUUUGUGAGUUGAAGAUCAUAGUUCAUUUAUUUAUUUUGGAUUGAUAAUCAUUUUCACCAAAUAUAUGUAUCAACUGAGGAUAUAUAGAUUACGUGGAUUGUUAGUUUUCUGCAAAUGAGAUUAUACAUAACAAGGAUUUUCUUGUGGACUAGGUUAUUUUGAUUGCAAUUUGCUAUUAUUUGAGGUUUUAUAUCUCUUGAUAUGUACUAAAAGCAAUAGAUCAUUAGAGAGAAAUUAGUUUCAUCCAAAUAUUUAAGAAAAGACAAGCUAAAGUUUGUCACGAAACACAUAAAGAAGAACUUUCAGGCUUCUCAAAACUAAAGCAGCACUAGCAUAGAAACAUGACACAAUAUGGACAGGCCAACAUGACAAUUUUGAAUGCUGAAAGGAUUGCUUAUUCAUUAAAGGAAAAAGGGCAAUCAAGAAAAACUUUAAACAUGGUAUUGAAAAUACCCAAGCAAAGGCAAGCUGAAGUUUGUCAAAAACAUAUAAAGAACUUUCAAGCUGUUCGGAAUUAAGAAGCACGAAUACAGAUACAUUAGACGAUACAUAAACACCAACAUGACAUGAUAAUUUUGAAUGCAACACAUGAACCAAUAGGAUAAAGAACAUAAGCCAUCUUAAUCUUCACAAAAAACGGGUUGCUCAUUCCAAAAAAAAAAAA